AACGCACAUUGCACCUUUUGGUAUUCCGAAAGGUAUGUCUGUUCGAGCGUCAUUUAAACUUCUCAAGCUUUGCUUGGUAUUGAGGAAGGUUUAAGAACCUCUUCAUAACUUAUUGGCAUGAUUUAAAAUUAAUUCAAGCGUAGCAAUGUUAUCGUUUAGUUUUAUUUUAAUCAUCGUCAAACAAACUUAAAAACUUUCAAGUUUGACCUCGGAUCAGAUAAGGAUACCCGCUGAACUUAA
rnacentral:misc_RNA from 1 species